CAGCCGCCGCGGUAAUACAGAGGGUGCGAGCGUUAAUCGGAUUUACUGGGCGUAAAGCGUGCGUAGGCGGCUAAUUGAGUCGGAUGUGAAAUCCCCGAGCUUAACUUGGGAAUUGCAUUCGAUACUGGUUAGCUAGAGUGUGGGAGAGGAUGGUAGAAUUCCAGGUGUAGCGGUGAAAUGCGUAGAGAUCUGGAGGAAUACCGAUGGCGAAGGCAGCCAUCUGGCCUAACACUGACGCUGAGGUACGAAAGCAUGGGGAGCAAACAGGAUUAGAGACCCCCGUAGUCCCUGUCUCUUAUAC
rnacentral:rRNA from 1 species